GGGUCGUGCACGCUCGAGCACUCUCACACAUCCAUCUCACCCCUUUGUGCAUCACCGCGUGGGUCCCCCUUUGCAGGAGGGCUCGCGUUUUCACACAAAACUUGAUACAGUGUAGAAUGUUAUCUUUUUGCGGUCACACGCAAUCAAUACAACUUUCAACAACGGAUCUCUUGGCUCUCGCAUCGAUGAAGAACGCAGCGAAAUGCGAUACGUAAUGUGAAUUGCAGAAUUCAGUGAAUCAUCGAAUCUUUGAACGCACCUUGCGCCCCUUGGCAUUCCGAGGGGCACACCCGUUUGAGUGUCGUGAAAUCAUCAAAUACCUUUUUCUGUUUACUGAAAAGGGUUUUUGGACUUGGAGGUUCAAUGCUUGCCUUUCACUUUUGAAAAGCGAGCUCCUCUCAAAUGAAUUAGUGGGGUUCGCUUUGCUGAUCCUCGACGUGAUAAGAUGUUUCUACGUUUUGGAUUUGGCACUGACGCCUGCUUCUAACUGUCCUCACGGACAACGAUGGUGCUCCGGUCGCCACCGUCCGCAUUGGCGGAGGAGGGCUGGACCCACGAAAGAAAACCUUGACCUCAAAUCGGGUGAGACUACCCGCUGAACUUAAGCAUAUCA
rnacentral:rRNA from 1 species